AGGAGGUCUAAUUCCCACUAACAGAACCCUCUGCAGACCCAUAGACACCUCAAUCCAGACCCAGAGUUCCGUGAACCCUAAUAAGUGCCCUGCCUACAAAAAUGAACUUAACUAUCCCAUUGCACUCUGACCUCCAAGGGCAUUGAGACCUGCCUGAGGUCAAGUUCCAAUAAUCGGCCAACGGGAGUCUUAUGAAAUUCAACAAGGACAAAUGCCUGGGCUGUGUCAUCAGAAGCACAGCCAGAAGAUCUGGGAAAGUGAUUAUUCCCUGAACUCAGCAGCUGUUAGACCACACGCAGAGCACUGCAUCCAGUCUGCGCCUCCCUGUUAAGGGAAAGGCUCUGAUAAACCAGCGCAAGUCCAGGGGAGGGCCACCACGAUGGUUGGGGAUGGAGCAUGUGACCUGUGAGAACAGGCAAAGAGACUGGGGCUUCUUCACCUGGAGAGGGGGUGUCUUUGGGGGAAUCAC